rnacentral:rRNA from 1 species
UACGUAGGAUGCGAGCGUUGUUCGGAAUCACUGGGCGUAAAGCGUACGUAGGCGGUAAAUUGUGUCUGCUAUUAAAGACCGGGGCUCAACUCCGGGAAUGUAGCAGAAACUGAUUUGCUAGAGGUUAGUAGAGGGAAUCGGAAUUCUCAGUGUAGCGGUGAAAUGCGUAGAUAUUGGGAAGAACACCAGUUGCGAAAGCGGAUUUCUGGGCUAAUACUGACGCUGAGGUACGAAAGCGUGGGGAGCAAACGGG